UACAGAGGGUGCGAGCGUUAAUCGGAAUUACUGGGCGUAAAGCGUGCGUAGACGGUUAUUUAAGUCGGAUGUGAAAGCCCCGGGCUCAACCUGGGAAUUGCAUUCGAGACUGAAUAGCUAGGGUGCGGUAGAGGGAAGCGGAAUUUCCGGUGUAGCGGUGAAAUGCGUAGAUAUCGGAAGGAACAUCAGUGGCGAAGGCAGCACUCUGGGCCGGUACUGACGCUGAGGAGCGAAAGCGUGGGGAGCAAACAGG
rnacentral:rRNA from 1 species